rnacentral:lncRNA from 1 species
UUUUAUGGAAUGGUCUGCCUACCCAUGUGAGAGACGCAGACUCAGUCUCAACCUUUAAGUCUUUACUGAAGACUCAUCUCUUCAGUAGGUCCUAUGAUUAAGUGUAGUCUGGCCCAGGAGUGUGAAGGUGAACGGAAAGGCUCUGGAGCAACGAACCGCCCUUGCUGUCUGGCCGGUUUCCCUCUCUCCACUGGGAUUCUCUGCCUCUAACCCUAUUACAGGGGCUGAGUCACUGGUUUACUGGUGUUCUUCCAUGCCGUCCCUAGGAGGGGUGCGUCACUUGAGUGGGUUGAGUCACUGACGUGGUCUUCCUGUCUGGGUUGGCGUCCCCCCUUGGGUUGUGCCGUGGCGGAGAUCUUUGUGGGCUAUACUCGGCCUUGUCUCAGGAUGGACCUGAGCCCUAGGACCAUGCCUCAGGACUACCUGGCAUGAUGACUCCUUGCUGUCCCCAGCCCACCUGGCCAUGCUGCUGCUCCAGUUUCAGCUGUUCUGCAUGCGGCUAUGGAACCCUGACCUGUUCACCGGACGUGCUACCUGUCCCAAACCUGCUGUUUUCAACUCUCUAGAGACAGCAGGAGCGGUAGAGAUACUCUCAAAGAUCGGCUAUGAAAAAGCCAACUGACACUUACUCUUGAGUUGCUGACUUGUUGCACCCUCGACAACUACUAUGAUUAUUAUUAUUUGACCAUGCUGGUCAUUUAUGAACAUUUGAACAUCUUGGCCAUGUUCUGUUAUAAUCUCCACCCGGCACAGCCAGAAGAGGACUGGCCAGCCCUCAUAGCCUGGUUCCUCUCUAGGUUUCUUCCUAGGUUUUGGCCUUUCUAGGGAGUUUUUCCUAGCCACCGUGCUUCUACACCUGCAUUGCUUGCUGUUUGGAGUUUCAGGCUGGGUUUCUGUACAGCACUUUGAGAUAUCAGCUGAUAUAAGAAGGGCUAUAUAAAUACAUUUAAUUUGAUUUGAGCAGUUGUUCCCCUUGCUCUGCAUGGGUAACGCUGCUUCGAGGGUGGCUGUUGUCGAUGUGUUCCUGGUUUGAGCCCAGGUAGGAGCAAGGAGAGGGACGGAAGCUAUACUGUUACACUGGCAAUACUAAAGUGCCUAUAAGAACAUCCAAUAGUCAAAGGUAUAUGAAAUACAAAUCGUAUAGAGAGAAAUAGUCCUAUAUUUCCUAUAAUAACUACAACCUAAAACUUCUUACCUGGGAAUAUUGCAGACUCAUGUUAGAAGGAACCACCAGCUUUCAUAUGUUCUCAUGUUCUGAGCAAGGAACUUAAACGUUAGCUUUUUUACAUGGCACAUAUUGCACUUUUACUUUCUUCUCCAACACUUUGUUUUUGCAUUAUUUAAACCAAAUUGAACAUGUUUCAUUAUUUAUUUGAGGCUAAAUUGAUAGUAUUUAUGUAUUAUAUUAAGUUAAAA